rnacentral:rRNA from 1 species
AGAGUUUGAUCAUGGCUCAGGAUGAACGCUGGCGGCGUGCCUAAUACAUGCAAGUUGUGCGGUAACAGAGAGAGCUUGCUCUCUGCUGACGAGCGGCGGACGGCAGAGUAACGCGUAGGAACAUACCCCAAACUGAGGGAUAACUGCUCGAAAGAGUAGCUAAUACCGCAUGUGGUCUUCGGAUUAAAGCUUCGGCGGUUUGGGAGUGGCCUGCGUCCGAUUAGCUAGUUGGUGAGGUAAUUGCUCACCAAGGCGACGAUCGGUAGCUGGUCUGAGAGGAUGAUCAGCCUGACUGGAACUGAGAACGGUCCAGACUCCUACGGGAGGCAGCAGUAGGGAAUUUUCCACAAUGGGCGAAAGCCUGAUGGAGCAACGCCGCGUGCAGGAUGAAUGCCUUCGGGUUGUAAACUGCUUUUCUGUGUGAAGAAUAUGACGGUAACACAGGAAUAAGGGUCGGCUAACUACGUG